rnacentral:rRNA from 1 species
AACGAACGCUGGCGGCAGGCUUAACACAUGCAAGUCGAACGGUUGUAGCAAUACAGCAGUGGCGCACGGGUGAGUAACGCGUGGGAAUAUACCGAGUAGUGGGGAAUAACUCCGGGAAACUGGAGAUAAUACCGCAUACGCCCGAGAGGGGAAAGAUUUAUCGCUAUUCGAUUAGCCCGCGUGAGAUUAGGUAGUUGGUGGGGUAAUGGCCUACCAAGCCGACGAUCUCUAGCUGGUCUGAGAGGAUGAUCAGCCACACUGGAACUGAGACACGGUCCAGACUCCUACGGGAGGCAGCAGUGGGGAAUAUUGGACAAUGGGCGAAAGCCUGAUCCAGCCAUGCCGCGUGAAUGAUGAAGGCCUUAGAGUUGUAAAGUUCUUUCGCCGAUGAAGAUAAUGACGGUAGUCGGAGAAGAAGCCCCGGCUAACUUCGUGCCAGCCGCCGCAGUAAAAC